ACGGCUACCAACAAUGGCUUCAGCAGGAAGGUAUUGAUGGUGUUGGGACCACGCCAUCCACAGAACAACAGAGCACUAAUACAGAGAGCAGAACUCCAGUCCUAUUCAUUCUGAUACCGAUCGUCCAGCCUUAGAGGGGACAGCCCUCCUAGUCAUUCUGAUACCGAUCGUUCAGCCUUGGAGAGGACAGCCCUCCUAGUCAUUCUGAUACCGAUCGUUCAGCCUUGACGAGGACAGCCCUCCUAGUCAUUCUGAUACCGAUCGUUCAGCCUUGGAGAGGACAGCCCUCCUAGUCAUUCUGAUACCGAUCGUUCAGCCUUGGAGAGGACAGCCCUCCUAGUCAUUCUGAUACCGAUCGUUCAGCCUUGACGACGACAGCCCUAGUCAUUNNNNNNNNNNCUCCCGGGUGAUUGGAGGGGGAGCGUCUGUCGUUCUCCCGGGUGAUUGGAGGGGGAGCGUCUGUUGUUCUCCCGGGUGAUUGGAGGGGAGCGCCUGUUGUACUCCCGGGUGAUUGGAGGGGAGCGCCUGUUGUACUCCCGGGUGAUUGGAGAGGAGCGCCUGUUGUUCUCUUUAUGUUCAUCCUAGCUUUGUUUUCCCUGUUUAUCUUCUUUUGAAAAAAAGGUUUCUCCCUGUCCUUUACUUUUCAUUUUAUCUUAAGUUCAUGACGUCUUCUGUAGUUUUCAUCCCCUCCCACCCCUGGUUCAGAUCCCGUCAGGCGGAGACAGAGAGGGACCAGGCAGGGGAGGAUAAUAGAAUGUUCAAACAGGAGUUUGGAGAGAAGAUAGACGCUCUACAGCUGGAGGUGGAACAUCUCAGGAAACACAGGUCAUGUUUGGAGCUGGAGCUGAGGAAAGGGAGGGGUAGUGGUGGAGGUAGCCAGUAUAUAGAGCCUGUGUCUGGGGAGAAGUUGACCUCGGCCCCCCAGAGAGACCUGGAAGACAUCCGGAAGGAACUGGAGGCAGUGAAGAAGGAGAAUCAUCAACUAUGUGCUGUGGUAGAUGACACGAGCGGUCCAGGGUCCAACAUGUCAAUGUCACAAAAUGAGGAUGAGCAGGGAGGAGGAGCCAAAGAUGGAGAGAAGAAGAAGAAGAAGGCUGCAGCGGGAGACGCUGGUGGGAAGACGGAGCUGUCCCCUCCUCCCGGGUACAUGGAGGAGCGUCUGUCCCUGUACACUAAACUGAAGGAGGAGCAUGAUGCUCUGAUGGCAGAGAGGGCAGAGAAGGACAGUAAAUCCAUCAAGGUGACUCUGCCAGAUGGGAAGGUGGUGGAGGCUGAGUCCUGGAAGACCACACCCUACCAGGUGGCUGCUGGCAUCAGUCAGGGUCUAGCUGACGCCACAGUGAUAGCUAAGGUGAACAACUCUGUGUGGGACCUGGACCGACCUCUAGAGGAAAACUGCAGUCUGCAGCUGCUCAAGUUUGAUGACGACGAGGCUAAAGCUGUGUACUGGCACUCCAGUGCCCACAUAAUGGGUGAGGCAAUGGAGAGGGUCUACGGAGGCUGCUUGUGUUACGGUCCGCCCAUCGAGAACGGCUUCUACUACGACAUGUUCCUGGACCAAGAGGGGGUGUCCAGUAAUGACUUCCCCUGCUUGGAGAACUUGUGUAAGAAGAUCAUCAAGGAGAAGCAGCCCUUCGAGAGGCUGGAGAUCAAGAAGGAGACUCUCCUGGAGAUGUUCAAGUACAACAAAUUUAAGUGCCGGAUCUUGAAUGAGAAGGUGACCACCCCAACCACUACUGUGUACAGGUGUGGUCCGCUGAUUGACCUGUGCCGAGGACCCCAUGUCCGACACACUGGAAAGAUCAAGGCCCUGAAGAUCCACAAGAACUCCUCUACCUACUGGGAGGGCAAGGCUGACAUGGAGACUCUUCAGAGGAUCUACGGCAUCUCCUUCCCUGAUCCUAAGAUGCUAAAGGAGUGGGAACGCUUCCAGGAGGAGGCCAAGAACAGGGACCACCGCAAACUGGGACGGCAGUUUUUACAGAAACAUUGUGGAAAUAUUGUCGGGGAACAGCAGGAGAUUACUGGGAAAAUUGUGUGGUGUUGUCUUUUCCUCAACCUCCAGAUUGAGGAGGAGAUUAAGGGUUGUCUGGACUUCCUGCGUACAGUCUACGACUGUUUUGGUUUCUCCUUCAAACUCAACCUGUCCACCCGGCCUGAGAAGUUCCUGGGAGAGCCUGCGGUCUGGGAUCAGGCUGAGAAGAUUGACAUCCAGAUCAAGGAUGCUAUUGGUCGAUACCACCAGUGUGCCACCAUCCAGCUGGACUUCCAGCUACCAAUCCGCUUCAACCUCACCUUUGUCAGCCAUGAUGGAGACGAUAAGCAGAGGCCAGUCAUCAUCCACAGAGCCAUCCUGGGAUCAGUAGAGAGGAUGAUCGCUAUCCUCACUGAGAACUACGGAGGGAAAUGGCCGCUGUGGCUGUCUCCUCGUCAGGUGAUGGUGGUACCUGUAGGACCCACACUGGAUGACUAUAAGAACACAUUUAUUAUGAAAUUUACAGGCAAAUCAUUACGGAAUCAUAGUCUCUCAGCCUUUGUGGGAGAGAAGGAGAAGACCAGCGAGACGGUGAACGUGCGUACUCGUGACAACAAGGUGCACGGAGAACGCAGCGUCAAUGAGUGUAUGGAGCGUCUCAAACAGCUGAAGGCCUCACGCAGCCGCAACGCGGAGGAGGAAUUCUGA
rnacentral:lncRNA from 13 species